CCCAGUAACAAGGUGAGUGAAGCGGCCGCUGCAGCCACUUGCUCCACGUGACAAAUUCAUUCUUACGCGGCAGUGCGACGCGUAGCCGUUUGUUGUUGUUGUUUGUUGUUGUCGUGGUCGCCGCCGCCGCCGACAACGACGGCAUCGUCGUCGUGGAAAAAAUAAAGUUGCCGCUCGAUUGUUUUUCUUUUGCUUUUGUUUGUUUGUUUUGUUUAAAUAACAAUUCACGAAACGACCUUACGACCCGGAGCAGCGGCUCCGUUUGCUUCGCAUGAGGGGGGGGGGGGACUUCGCGUCUCGUCUCGCCUCGAAAAGGUUCUUGCGGCACAGAAGACAAACAGGCUAAUGGAAUAUUCAAGACCGUACUGAUGUCUUCCAGGGAGGAGCGGUAUUACUUAAAAGCGUCCCGUCGCACCAUGGAGCCUCUCUCACUAUAGGUGGAUGCAGGAGGCCGUACGGUUCCUGUUGGAACUUGAGGAGCAGAAUAAAAAUCCAAGCAUCAACGGAAAUUCCUGCGAACGCCAAAAAAAAAAAAAA